rnacentral:rRNA from 1 species
CCUACGGGUGGCAGCAGUGAGGAAUAUUGGUCAAUGGGCGCAAGCCUGAACCAGCCAAGUCGCGUGCGGGAAGACGGUCCUAUGGAUUGUAAACCUCUUUUGUCCGGGAGCAACAGACGCUACGCGUGGCGUUCCGCGAGUACCCGAAGAAAAAGCAUCGGCUAACUCCGUGCCAGCAGCCGCGGUAAUACGGAGGAUGCGGGCGUUAUCCGGAUUUAUUGGGUUUAAGGGGUGCGAAGGCGGAAGAUCAAGCCUGUGGGAAAAUUUAGAGGCUCAACCGGGUCUUGCCGUGGCAACUGGUGUGAUUGAGUGAGCGAGAAGCAUGCGGAAUGCGUGGUGUAGCGGUGAAAUGCAUAGAUAUGACGAAGAACCCCGAUUGCGAAGGCAGCAUGCUGGCGCGGAACUGACGCUGAUGCACGAAAGCGUGGGUAUCGAACAGGAUUAGAUACCCUGGUAGUC